GAGAAUCUAUGGGAGAAGGAAGGGGAGGACCACCGCGGAACCUGGAGGUCGAUGUAACGUCCAAGCUUGAGAGAGAGACGGAAGUGUUUGGUGGAGGGCCAAACCCCUAGUCAGGUAAAUGUGGAACCCUUCGCUCCUCCAGCCAGUUGCGGGGUCAUGGCGCGCCCUCUGGUGGCCCUUCUAUGAGCAAGCUUGAAGGAACUACCCCCUGGACUCAGAUACGACCUUGAGCGCUGACUUCCCUUGUAGUCACGUCCAUGCAUGCCCAGUGAACCUGCCCACAGAUGCUGGCUCCAGAACGGACCCUUUCCCGGAAGCCUUCAUCUCAGAAAGAUAUAUCCAUAAAAGUGUGAAAUCUGCAAAGA